UCAGCAGAUGGUGGCUUCUUGCUGCUAAGAACCAAAGCCCUUUGUCCUUCUGGAGUCAUUCCUCAAACAUUGCUCUGUGUUUUAAUGAUAUAUGUCUAUAACGAAAGCACUUCGAGGGCAGGGAUUCAUUGCACAGGGUAGGUGUCAGCAAAUACUGUGCUACAGAGAAGAAAGAAUCCAGCGCUACAUUGGCAGAUGAAAGAGGCAGCAAACUCAACUUCAAGGACCUGGCAGGACACAAAACUCCUCUCCUGUCCCCUCUUUCAUCAGUAGGGAUAACACGUGAACUCUAGGCAGAAUUGCAUAAAUGGCCCCUCCCUCCUCCCCUCCCCCCCCCCCCCCCCGCCCCCAGCCUACAUAGUUCAGCUUGCCUUCUAAAGAGGUGAGAGUGAGGAGUGACAGCUGGUUUCUUUUGCUCCACCCCUUCUCUUUUCCCCCAAACACAGAGCAGAAAUUCACCUCUGACAGCACUGCUUUCAAGCUCCCGCAAGACACGGCACACACAGGACACAUGGCACGCAGCCCUCGGCACACCUCUGCAGGGAUGGUGCGGACAGAUGCCUCCCUCUCCAGCAUGAAGCGCCUCACCUCUGCGCUCCGGGCCGCCCUGGCCCUCGUCCUGCUCUUUGCCUCCUUCCACUUGGCUUGCUUGGCAGAAGCGAGGAACAGUGACAACUCAACCCUGACCACCCAUCACCCAGACCCUGGAACCCUGGAGCAGUGCCCCAACGUGGACUUCUGUCCCCAAGCGGCUCGCUGCUGCCACCCCGGCGUGGAUGAGUAUGGCUGGAUCGCCGCGGCAGUUGGAUGGAGCCUGUGGUUCCUCACCCUCAUCUUGCUCUGUGUGGACAAGCUGCUGAAGCUCAGCCCGGAGGAGCCCAAGGAUCUGCAAGCCUGAGGCCCCAGGGCGGCGGCCCCAGGGUGUCAGUGGCCACCCAACCGCACGGAAUCAUUUCACCUUUGGGGGAGGUGUCAGAUUUCUAAGUAGGGAAUGUCAGAAUUGGACACAUCAGUGGUUAUAAACUCCACUACAAAAGCCUAGAAGGCUAGCUGGGGUGCUGCAGGGAAGGGGUGGGCAUGAGGCCCAUCCUUGUGACCACAGCAGCAUGGCUCUUACCACUUCUAUAUACCAGACCUCUGCAGUAAGAUUCCAUUUGCUCCCUUUUUAUUAUUAUUAUUUUAUUUAGAGAGAGAGUGCCAGCGGGGGGUGAGGGAGGGGCAGAGGGAGAGAGAAUCUCAAGCAGACUCCCUGCUGAGCAUGGAGCCCAGUGUGAGGCUCCAUCUCUCAGCCUUGAGGUCAUGACCUACCUGAGCUGAAAUCAGGGGGGAGGGGUGGGGAGCGGUGCCCACGUGCCCAUGCGGUUUUGGCCACCUCCGAGUUGUCCCCUCUGUACAGCGAUGGUGUUGAGAAGAGACGCGAGAUGGAAAGGAGGGUCUGAGGGAGCAGGGCCAGGGCUGCCCCGCACCCA
rnacentral:lncRNA from 1 species